rnacentral:rRNA from 1 species
UAGGGAAUCUUCGGCAAUGGGGGCAACCCUGACCGAGCAACGCCGCGUGAGUGAAGAAGGUUUUCGGAUCGUAAAGCUCUGUUGUAAGAGAAGAACGUGUGUGAGAGUGGAAAGUUCACACAGUGACGGUAACUUACCAGAAAGGGACGGCUAACUACGUGCCAGCAGCCGCGGUAAUACGCAGGUCCCGAGCGUUGUCCGGAUUUAUUGGGCGUAAAGCGAGCGCAGGCGGUUUAAUAAGUCUGAAGUUAAAGGCAGUGGCUUAACCAUUGUUCGCUUUGGAAACUGUUAAACUUGAGUGCAGAAGGGGAGAGUGGAAUUCCAUGUGUAGCGGUGAAAUGCGUAGAUAUAUGGAGGAACACCGGUGGCGAAAGCGGCUCUCUGGUCUGUAACUGACGCUGAGGCUCGAAAGCGUGGGGAGCAAACAGG